GUGAAUCAUCAAAUCUUUGAACGCAAAUUGCACUCUCUUCGGAGAGUAUGCCUGUUUGAGGGUCAGCCUAUAAAAAAUAGAGAUAGUUGCUGUUUCUCGGUGGCGUUUGUCGGAAAUUGGGUCAUAUUUUAUCUUUUGGUUUUUAGCGACUUAUAAUUUUUUUUUUGGUUUCAUGAACGUUUUUAUGAUUUAUUUCUUUUCAAGUUUUAGGUAUUGAUUUUUAUUAGACGUGACCAUUAUAUCGGAUUGCGCCCAU
rnacentral:misc_RNA from 1 species